rnacentral:rRNA from 1 species
AGUGAACGCUGGCGGUAGGCCUAACACAUGCAAGUCGAACGGCAGCACAGUAAGAGCUUGCUCUUACGGGUGGCGAGUGGCGGACGGGUGAGGAAUACAUCGGAAUCUACUUUUUCGUGGGGGAUAACGUAGGGAAACUUACGCUAAUACCGCAUACGACCUACGGGUGAAAGCAGGGGAUCUUCGGACCUUGCGCGAUUGAAUGAGACGAUGUCGGAUUAGCUAGUUGGCGGGGUAAAGGCCCACCAAGGCAACGAUCCGUAGCCGGUCUGAGAGGAUGAUCAGCCACACUGGAACUGAGACACGGUCCAGACUCCUACGGGAGGCAGCAGUGGGGAAUCUUGGACAAUGGGCGCAAGCCUGAUCCAGCCAUACCGCGUGGGUGAAGAAGGCCUUCGGGUUGUAAAGCCCUUUUGUUGGGAAAGAAAAGCAGCAGGUUAAUACCCCGCUGUUCUGACGGUACCCAAAGAAUAAGCACCGGCUAACUUCGUG